CCUACGGGUGGCAGCAGUGAGGAAUAUUGGUCAAUGGGCGGAAGCCUGAACCAGCCAAGUCGCGUGAGGGAAUAAGGCCCUACGGGUCGUAAACCUCUUUUGCCGGGGAGCAAGUUCGGGUACGUGUCCCGCCCCGUAGAGUACCCGGAGAAAAAGCAUCGGCUAACUCCGUGCCAGCAGCCGCGGUAAUACGGAGGAUGCGAGCGUUAUCCGGAUUUAUUUGGUUUAAGGGGUGCGUAGGCGGGCUAUUAAGUCAGCGGUAAAAAUUCGGGGCUCAACCCCGUCCGGCCGUUGAAACUGGGGGCCUUGAGUGGGCGAGAAGAAGGCGGAAUGCGUGGUGUAGCGGUGAAAUGCAUAGAUAUCACGCAGAACCCCGAUUGCGAAGGCAGCCUGCCGGCGCCCAACUGACGCUGAGGCACGAAAGUGCGGGGAUCGAACAGGAUUAGAUACCCCUGUAGUC
rnacentral:rRNA from 1 species